CAGCCCGCGUCUUUACGGGCGAUUGACACCCUUUCCGUCCCCUAAAAGAAUUUGUUGGGCUCAUUCUUGGCCAAAAAACUAAAAGUUCCGGGGGAGCGCUUCCAAGAAAAAACAAGAGAGAAUUGCGGGCACCCGCCCAAGGGUUGGAGCAUGUGUUUAAUCGAAGCAACGCGAAAGACUACCAAGUCUUGACAUCAUAGACAGGGUGUAAUGGCUUUGUCUUCGGGACAGAGGAGACAGGUGGUGCAUGGUGUAGUCAGCUCGUGUCGUGAGAUGUUGGGUUAAGUCCCGCAACGAGCGCAACCCUCGUCAUUAGUAGCCAGCAUUUCGGAUGGGCACUCUAAGGAGACUGCCGGGGUCAACCCGGAGGAAGGUGGGGAUGACGUCAAAUCAUCAUGCCCCUUAUGACUUGGGCUACACACGUGUUACAAUGGCGUAAACAAAGGGACGUGAAGGCGCGAGCCGGAGCAAAUCUCAAAAAUAACGUCCCAGUUCGGACUGUAGUCUGCAACCCGACUACACGAAGCCGGAAUCGCUAGUAAUCGCAGAUCAGCAUGAUGCGGUGAAUACGUUCCCGGGUCUUGUACACACCGCCCGUCACACCAUGGGAGUUGGUAAUGCCCGAAGCUGGUGACUUAACCGCAAGGAGAGAGCCAUCGAAGGCAGGACUGAUAACUGGGGAGAAGUCGUAACAAGGUAGCCGUAUCGGAAGGUGCGGC
rnacentral:rRNA from 1 species